rnacentral:tRNA from 1 species
GCGCCCAUAGCUCAAUGGAUCGAGCAUCUGGUUGCGGACCAGAAGGUUGUAGGUUCGAGUCCUACUGGGCGCA